CUCACGUUGGCCCCGCGAUACCUCCUCCUCCUCCUCUUCCUUCGGGCUGGCCUUUUGCGGGUGCCACUUCCGGGGUGCCCAGACCGGUUCUGGAGUGACCGGGCCUGCUCGCUCUCUCUCUCCCCCACGGUCCUGGACCCCAGACACCAUUUACAGGCGAGUGGCUGGUGGCAGAAUCUCCCCGCCCCGCACCUGUCACGGAGAGCGCGCGCCGCGCCCCAGAAGCCAAUCAGCAGCCGCCUUAGGUGACCAUGUCUGAGUCUGGUCACAGUCAGCCUGGGCUCUAUGGGAUAGAGAGGCGGCGACGGUGGAAGGAGCCUGGCCCUGGCGGCCCCCAGAACCUCUCUGGGCCUGGAGGUCGGGAGAGGGACUACAUUGCACCAUGGGAAAGAGAGAGACGGGAUGGCAGCGAGGAGACCAGUGCAUCCGUCAUGCAGAAAACCCCCAUCAUUCUCUCAAAACCUCCAGCAGAGCGGUCAAAGCAGCCACCGCCUCUAGCAGCCCCCACUGCCCCACCUGCUCCAGCCCCUCUUGAGAAGCCCAUCGUCCUCAUGAAACCACGGGAGGAGGGGAAAGGGCCCGCGGCCACAACAAAUGCCUCAACCCCUGAGGGCACUGCCCCGCCACCCCCUGCGGCCCCUGUGCCACCCAAGGGGGAGAAGGAGGGGCAGAGACCCACGCAGCCUGUGUACCAGAUCCAGAACCGGGGCAUGGGCACUGCUGCGCCGGCGGCCGUGGACCCUGUCGUGGGCCAGGCCAAACUGCUGCCCCCAGAGCGCAUGAAGCACAGUAUUAAGUUGGUGGAUGACCAGAUGAAUUGGUGCGACAGUGCCAUCGAGUACCUGUUGGAUCAGACCGAUGUGUUGGUGGUUGGUGUCCUGGGCCUGCAGGGGACAGGCAAGUCCAUGGUCAUGUCACUGUUGUCAGCCAACACUCCUGAGGAGGACCAGAGGGCGUAUGUUUUCCGGGCUCAGAGCGCCGAAAUGAAGGAGCGAGGGGGCAAUCAGACCAGUGGCAUCGACUUCUUCAUUACCCAAGAACGGAUUGUUUUCCUGGACACACAGCCCAUCCUGAGCCCCUCCAUCUUGGACCACCUCAUCAACAACGACCGCAAGCUGCCUCCGGAGUACAACCUUCCCCACACCUACGUCGAGAUGCAGUCACUGCAGAUUGCUGCUUUCCUGUUCACGGUCUGCCAUGUGGUGAUCGUCGUCCAGGACUGGUUCACCGACCUCAGUCUGUACAGGUUCCUCCAGACUGCAGAGAUGGUGAAGCCCUCCACCCCGUCCCCCAGCCAUGAGUCCACCAGCUCAUCAGGCUCCGACGAAGGCACCGAGUACUACCCGCACCUGGUCUUCCUGCAGAACAAAGCUCGCCGAGAGGACUUCUGUCCUCGGAAGCUGCGGCAGAUGCACCUGAUGAUCGACCAGCUCAUGGCCCACUCCCACUUGCGUUAUAAGGGUACUCUGUCCAUGUUACAGUGCAACGUCUUCCCUGGGCUGCCCUCCGACUUCCUGGACUCCGAGGUCAACCUGUUCCUGGUGCCCUUCAUGGACAGCGAAGCGGAGAGUGAAAACCUGCCAAGAACAGGACCCAGUUCCAGCCCCCUCUUCUCCCUGCUCCCCGGGUACCGCGGCCACCCCAGUUUCCAGUCGUUGGUGAGCAAGCUCCGGAGCCAGGUGAUGUCCAUGGCCCGGCCACAGCUGUCACACACAAUCCUCACUGAGAAGAACUGGUAAGAGCUCUUGGCAGAGGAGGUCAGUGUGAGGUGUGUGUCCCCUACUUCUGGUUAAGACGGAAGGAGGUUCCCUGAGAUCUCUCCACAUUGAGUUGCCUUUUCUGGAACACCGACGAUUGCUGCCAUCUUGUAAGCGCCUCUUCUGUGCCAGGCAAUGUAUUGUUUCAUGUGAUUUUUUUUUUCCCAGGAUUAAGUUAAAAUUAGAAUCAGUGAUAGGGUUAGGGUUAGGGUUUAGGGUGAAGUUAAGGAUUAGGUUUAGCGGUUAGGUUAGAGUUAGCUUUAGAGCUAACAUUAGGGUUAUUGAGGAUUUAGGGUUAAGGUUACGGUGUUAGGCUUAGGGUUGGGGUGUAAGGUUUAGGGUUAGGCAGUUAGGGUUAGAGUUGGAGAGAGUUAGAUGGGUAGCGUCAGAGAGUUAGGGUAAGAAUAUUCGGGUUAGGGUUAGAAUGUUAGGGUUGAGGGUGCAGCGAAGGUUAGGGUUAAGAUUUAAAAGUUAAGUUUAAAGUUAGGGUCAUGAUUAUAAAGUUGGCCUAGGAUUAGGUUUAUUUUUUAUUUAAUUAAAUUUGGGGGGGUUGCAUUGGUUAAUAAGUUUCAGGUGUACCAUUCUAUGAUACAUCAUCUGUGCCUUGCAUUGUACGCUCACCACCCAAAGUCUGGACUCCUUCCAUCACCAUGUAUUUGACUCCCUUUGCCCUCUUCAUUCUCCUCCAUCCCUCCAUCCCCCAGCCACCAUAUUGUUGUUUGUCUGUGAUUUUGUUUGUUCAUUUAUUGCUUUCUGUUUUGUAUCCCACAUUGUUUUAUGUGAUUUUGAAUCCUCCUAAUCAGCCAGUGGAGUGGCUGGUUUUACCAGUGGGGAAAUGUAGGCUCAGAGGAAGUGCCGCAUAGUCAGGCCACACACCUGUGGUUAAGUGUCAUUUGAUUGCGAAGAGUAGGACCAGUGAGUCCAAACUUAAAGAUUUAUUCUGAGGCCACGAGUGCAAAAGCAUAGCCUCACAGGAGAGGAAGCUGGAAAGCCAUUGGGAACCACAGGAGCUACUUCCCAGCUCGUCUGGAAUGCGCAGUCUCAUUGUCCCCCUCCUCCUUUUCCUUCUUCUUUUCCUCCUCCUUUUCCUCCUCCUUUUUCCUCCUCCUUUGCCAGCUGGUUUUCACCCUCCCCAGCCCCGGCUUUACCUGGCUCUGUGUCCAGAGCCCACAGCAAGUCUGCCACAGACCCAGGUCGGCCGCCUCUGAUUUCUAAGAGAAACAAACUUGAAAAAUAGCUUGGCUUGGCGCAGCAGCCUCUCGCCUGGUUUUCUGGGUCUGUCUGCAGCCGGCUGUGGCCGGGAGGGACAGGAAGUGCACACACAGCAACAGGAAGCCACUCGGGAGACUGCGGGGCAAGGUUCCACUAUGCCGCCCGGAUCUGGGACGGGGUGAAGAAGUCCUCCGCCCUGGCAGAGUACAGCCGCCUGCUGGCCUGAGGCCAAGGAGAGGAGUGUCAUAUAGGGAACCCCCUUCUGGGUCCCCAGGGGAUGGCUGGCGAUGGAGAACUUCCGUCCCCGCUCCAGCGGGGUGGAGAGUGGCCGCAAGCCUGAUGGACAAGGGACCAUGACUUCCUUGCCCGGAGACACGAGGUGUUCAGGGCCAGGCCCGCACCCUCAGUGGAGCGUUGUUCAGGUGGUGAUUUUGAGAUCUCACAUCAACCUGGAACGGGCAGCCCCUCCUCAGCCCCCCAGGGGUAGGUGGUGGGCGGGAUCAGAACAGUCGCCAGGAAGCGCAGGCUCUCGUUGACCUUCCCCCCUGCAGGGACGGGGGCAACAAGUCCCUCUUGCCCGAGUCUCAGCCCUUCCUUGCAAGGUGGGGCCAGUUCUGGGAGCUCGUUUCUGGGGCAGACCCGGUGAUUCCCAUAAAAGCAGCUGUGCAAGCCCGUUCCAGUGCUCCUCCCCUCCCCCGCAGCAUGCUGUCCCAGAAGUGGGGCAAGUGUGGGUCCCAGCCCUUGGCGGGCAGAGUCUCCCUGGCCACCCAUUGGAGCCUGAGUGAAUUUCCCAGCAGACUCAUUCAGUAUGAGUCAUAGAGUCGUCAGAAGCAGAUGAAGACCAGUCUCUGCUAAGGAGGAAACCCCUAGAAAAGGGUGAUCUGUUUCCUGGGGUGACAUCAAGCCUCCCAUCUCUGUGUUAUGGAAAAUACAGUGCCCUCCGGCUAA